CGUUCAGUUUUAAAUCAAAUUCAGAGCUAUUAUUAUUUCGUGAUAUACCUCUAAUGUUCCAACACAGUAUGAUAUGUUUAAGUUAAAAC